GAUCAUGGCUCAGGAUGAACGCUAGCGGCAGGCUUAACACAUGGCAAGUCGUGGGGCAGCGCGGACUUCGGUCUGGCGGCGACCGGCAAACGGGUGCGGAACACGUACGCAACCUCCCUCAGAGCGGGGAAUAGCCUCUCGAAAGAGAGAUUAAUACCCCAUAGUAUCUUGAAGACACAUGUCUAUGAGAUUAAAGCUUCGGCACUUUGAGAUGGGCGUGCGGCUGAUUAGGUAGUUGGUAGGGUAACGGCCUACCAAGCCGACGAUCAGUAGCUGAUGUGAGAGCAUGAUCAGCCACACGGGCACUGAGACACGGGCCCGACUCCUACGGGAGGCAGCAGUGAGGAAUAUUGGUCAAUGGAGGAAACUCUGAACCAGCCAUGCCGCGUGGAGGAUGAAGGUCCUCUGGAUUGUAAACUCGUUUUAUAAAAGAAGAAACCCCAUUUUUCUAAAUGGGUUGACGGUACUUUAUGAAUAAGCACCGGCUAACUCCGUG
rnacentral:rRNA from 1 species